rnacentral:lncRNA from 1 species
GUAAACAGAGUCUGCUGUGAGCAGCAGAGAGUGCUACAAAUGGGAUUUAUUUGGGUCCCUGAGAUGUGCCCAAAAUUCAUGAAAUAUUGACAAAAACAUAGUAAGACAUUUCAUCACCUUUAUAAAAAUUAUCAGCAUUUUUGAGUGUCAGAAUCUCGGUUCAAUCGAGUUUACUUCGAGCUGUUCUUCACAUACUGCAGUUUGCAACCUGAAACUGACUACCUUCUGAGUUUAUUUGGACGACCUAUACAUUUCCAAAAUUUAUGAGAUUUUUAUUGAAGAUCCCCAAGAUAUUCCUCUAUCCAAAUAAAAAGUUAUUCUUGAUCGGACGUCAUUAACCAUACCCAUUUGAGCUUGUGGUGAGCUUUGUCUCCGCUGUCUACUGCAAACUGCAACAGGUGAGCACUUGUUUUGUAUUUAUUAAACCCUUAAUGCAUCAAAAUUGCAUAAAAUUUUCUAUGUAAGAUUCCACAACAUUCUUCUGUUCACAUAAAAGAAUUAGUUUUGAUUGGAGGUCAUUAUUUGAAUCCAGGUUGAAGAUUGUUUCAGCAGUCUGCUGCAAAUUGCAACAGAUAAGGAUUUCCCUAGUUUUGAAUUAUUUUUUUUGAUCUCCUUCGCUCCACCAUCUUUGUGAAUCAUUUGGCCCAAUUUGUCAAGUCUAUAUGGAACACUAUUCAGAUCACGGCAGACUUGUCAAAAGCCCUAUCUUUCAUCCAAACCUGCUGAUUUUCUUUCACCCAAAAAAUCAGUUGAUUCUCCACGUCAAGUUUUAUUGACCGUUUCAAAGGCCUUGCCAAAAUUCUGGACCAUUUGGAAAAAAUUAUCAUGGGUUUCUUCAUCAAGGUCUAUGUGAACAUAUCUUAGUUAAUUUGAAUGUCUCAGAAAAUACCCCCAAACAAAGGCGAC